AGAGUUUGAUCCUGGCUCAGAACGAACGCUGGCGGCGUGGAUUAGGCAUGCAAGUCGAACGAGAAGCUUUGAAUUCAAGUUUUCGGACGAGAAUUCAGAGUGGAGAGUGGCGAAAGGGUGAGUAACGCGUGGGUAAUUUGCCCAUAAGUUUGGGAUAGCCAGCCGAAAGGCUGGAUAAUACCGAAUGUGGUCGUGUCGCGCAUGCGACACUGUCUAAAGGUGGGGAUCCUUCGGGACCUGCCGCUUACGGAUGAACCCGCGUCCUAUCAGCUUGUUGGUAGGGUAACCGCUUACCAAGGCUAUAACGGGUAGCUGGUCUGAGAGGAUGGUCAGCCACACUGGGACUGAGACACUGCCCAGACUCCUACGGGAGGCUGCAGUCGAGAAUCAUUCGCAAUGCGCGAAAGCGUGACGAUGCGACGCCGCGUGUAGGAUGACGGCCUUCGGGUUGUAAACUACUGUCAUGGGAGAACAAUGAGCAGGAUGUUAACACCAUCCUGAAGUGAUAGUAUCCCAAGAGGAAGCCACGGCUAACUCUGUGCCAGCAGCCGCGGUAAUACAGAGGUGGCGAGCGUUGUUCGGAUUUACUGGGCGUAAAGGGUGCGUAGGCGGCUUCGUGUGUCGGAUGUGAAAUCUCACCGUUCAUCGGUGAAAAUGCAUUCGAAACUGCGGGGCUAGAGUACAGGAGAGGAGAGCGGAAUUCUUGGUGUAGCGGUGAAAUGCGUAGAUAUCAAGAGGAACGCCGGCGGCGAAGGCGGCUCUCUGGAAUGAUACUGACGCUGAGGCACGAAAGCUGGGGGAGCAAACAGGAUUAGAUACCCUGGUAGUCCCAGCCGUAAACGGUGUGCACUUGGUGUGGGUCGGUUUGUCCCGAUCCGUGCCGGAGCUAACGCGUUAAGUGCACCGCCUGGGGAGUACGGUCGCAAGGCUAAAACUCAAAGGAAUUGACGGGGGCCCGCACAAGCGGUGGAGCAUGUGGCUUAAUUCGAUGCAACGCGAAGAACCUUACCAGGACUUGACAUGUAACUGCGCGUCCGCCGAAAGGUGGAAAGCCUUCGAGGGUGUUACACAGGUGCUGCAUGGCUGUCGUCAGCUCGUGCCGUGAGGUGUUGGGUUAAGUCCCGCAACGAGCGCAACCCCUGUGGUUAGUUGCCACUUUCGCAGAGAUGUGAAAAGCACUCUAGCCAGACUGCCUGUGAUAAGCAGGAGGAAGGUGGGGAUGACGUCAAGUCAGUAUGGUCCUUAUGUCCUGGGCUGCACACGUGCUACAAUGGUCGGUAUAGAAGGACGCGAAACCGCGAGGUGGAGCAAAUCCCCAAAACCGACCCAAGUUCGGAUCGAAGUCUGCAACUCGACUUCGUGAAGUUGGAAUCGCUAGUAAAGGCGUAUCAGCUACGACGCCUUGAAUACGUUCCCGGGCCUUGUACACACCGCCCGUCACAUCACGAAAGCCGAUUGCACCCGAAGUCGCUGAUCUAAUCUCUUUUAGAGAAAGAAGGUGCCAAAGGUGUGAUUGGUAAUUGGGAUGAAGUCGUAACAAGGUA
rnacentral:rRNA from 1 species